rnacentral:lncRNA from 1 species
CCAUGAAGACGCCUGCAAAGGGUUUCACAGCCUUUUCCAUGAGUGUGCAGAACAGCAGGGGCCUCCUGUCCGUGCUCUCAGGGAAUGAGGACAAAGAUGCCUGAUGUGCUAUCGCUGGAGCGAUCAGGGUUAUUCAAGAAGCGAUGCUCACAUAGCAGGGCACAAAAACUCCUCGUGGAAAGGAAAAUGUGGAGGAAAUCCUCCCCAAAUGAUUCUUCCCCUCUGAAACUUAAAACAUCUAGAGACUCUCAGCCAAUGGACAAAACUGUUUAUUCCAUUUUUGUGGCAUGAGAAGGACAGAGCCCACAACACCACAACAAAGAUUUAUUUGUAGGCUGGGGUCACCAACUGGAACUGCAAAACCAACUUCACAUUUUUUACCAGUGCUCCAAAGUAAAAGAUCACUCUGGCAUUGCUAAUAGGUUUCUUGAAAGAGUUUACUUAGCUGACAAAUCAAUACAAAACAACAGCAAAAAUACCUUUUUCUUUUCUUUUACCAACAGCAAACUUUCCUAGUGGGAAUGGCACUACUCACAGAAUUAUAUCUGUGCAAGUUUGUUUUUUUGAGCACAGUAAAGUCUUCAAUUCUCUUUAAAAAAUGAUACUAUAGGGAAAAACAUUCCUGCUUUGUUGUAACAUAUUUCCUUUUUUUUUUUAUUUUUUUAAGGUGAACCUUCAAAAGAUUUCCAUCUAGCAUUUCUUCUAAUGUGUGCAGGCUAAUCUAGAUGGUUUAUGGUUCCUUGUUAUAUAAAGUACAGGAAAAUCUUAUUUAAUUUCCAAUCAAGCCUCAAUGAUUUAUUUGGCUUUCAGUUUUUGCUAUAUCUUUGCUGAAUGAAAAGCAGCUUAUAUAUGGAAUUAUUCAUGUACACACCUUGAUUCAUAUAUAUAUACACAGGCAUCUCCAUAUAUGUGUAUAUAUUUAUAUAUGUCUAAAAUCAAAGAAAUUAUGUUGAAGUUUCCUUUCAGAGAACAACAGCAAAAACAGCAGGGGGCAAGCAGCAGCAGCAAAAUGGGAAGAGCUUUAGAGAGCAGAGCAUGAAAAAGAUCCCAACCACACUAGAAAGAGAUUUGUGUAAUAGUGUUCCAGCAUUAGGGAAAUAUCUGGUUAUGUUGCCUUUUUAAGGUGCAUCCCUGAGCAGUUGGUAUCAAUUACCACUGGCAGGUAAAAUUCCACUUGUGUCUUUGUGCAAAAACACAGAUUUUGUUCCUUAGGGAAGAUGUUGUCUACUUGUACCCACCAAAAGCUGUUUUUUUGGGAAAAGGAAAUUCAUGGGUUUUUUUUUUUGAAAAU